CGCGGCCGCCCAGCCCGAGGGACCGGCCGAGGGAGCAGCGCCGUCCGCGGGCUGCGGCGGCGGGAAGGGGCCGGGGAAGGCAUCCCCAGGGAGACGGGACGCGGUCUCCAGAGCCAUGCCCAGCACAGUGCAAGGUGAUGCACUCCUUGUCCUUGUACCUCACUGUGAGAGACGAGGCGUGAGUCACUUCCCUCGGGGGCAGCGAUGACUAAAUGCCUCUCCUUGGGAGCACCAACCUGGAGCUGCCACAGCAGCAGCUGGGCACACAAGGGAUCACCACCUCAGAUCAGCUCUCUGAUGACUACGUGGUGUAAAAGCAGUUCAUUAAGUUGCAGGAUUAAAGACUUUUACAGCUCAUAAAGGAGGAAAGCUCAUAAGAAGGAUUCUAAUUCCAGGACACUGCUAUGUGCAGUUGAAUCAAUGGUGGUCGCAGCAGAUUCACAACACUAUUCUUAAAAAGUCUAGAAAAUACCUUUAUUUCUCAGAAAUAUGUGGAAAAGUUGAAAUCUCUUGACCAGUAUGAAGAUCAGACAUACCCAGUAAAUGGAAUGUUCAGGUGGAUUAAAUUUGUCAGUUUAAUUUAAACCAAACUAAUUAUGCAUAAUCCUCAAAACCAAUUCAUGAUGGUGAAUUUUGAUCCUAAGGCAAAUCAAGAGCUUGAGAUGCUGGGAAAAAAAAAAAUAUUUCUAAUGCAGGAGUCUAUCUACAGAGCUAUUUGAAGUAUUUAUUCCAGGCUACAGGCACAUGAAACAAUGUUGAAAAGUGCAGUUGCUCAAGAAAGUGUGGGAUAUUCAUGUUUAUAUUAAUAGCAGCAUUGAUGAUUGGACUAAAACCCAGUGGAGAGAGAUUAAUGUGGAACAGAUGGAUGUGUAUCUCAGAAAGUUUGCCAAGGCAGGUUCCACAGCCCUCUAUUUCUGCAAUUUAUCUGUCUCAGUGCCACCCCUUCCUCACUCUUCCCACCCACUUGGAUGUUUCGGUCAGGCUUUUACUAGCAGAAAACCUUUUCAGACCUUUUGGGACUCCAGUUUCAUAAGUGUGGAAGAUGAAGUCCAAAGUGUAGUAAGAGCUGAGUACUGAAAAGAUAAGUACCUUUUUGUUUUUCCUUCUGUUUUUUGCAGAAUGGUAUGUAAUGAACUAUUUGUUUGUUUAGGUCUUGUUGCAAGAAGUUAAUCAUAGAACUGAAAAUUUUCAUGUGACUUACCCAGGUAUCAAAAUUCACAGCCUAGUAAAAUGAACUUCUUGUGUGUGGUAUAGUUUGCCAUCACUGUGAAUUACAUAUGAUUUAAUUAAAUUCCUCAGUUCCAAAUGUGAAAUGUGAUAUAUAUAGACAGAUGUUAUUAUUGCUCUUAUUAUUCCCAGACUUCUGAAGAAAUUGACCAAACAUGGAUUGCCAUGGAAUUUUCUUACCAAGAGCAUAAAAGAAUAGAACUCCUUUAUUAAAGUCCAAUGAACAGCUGCUUAAAACUUUAAAUAACAAUCAAAUAAGAAUUUAAUUAUGAGAAAUAUUGUUGUAUCAAUAUUAUUCACCCCCUUGAUAUACUUGAGAAGUUAAAACUUUUUUUUUCCUGAGUUUUUAUAGCAAUUUAUAUUUUCUCCAGAUGUUAGUACUGGGAAUUUAUAUGUAUGCUGUGUAACUAUAUGUAUUCUAAAAAUAUUACUGUCUCCAUGUAGGAGUUAAAAAAAUAACAGUUUCUAAGCUUGUAAUUUCUUCAAUUUUUAAAUAAUAUGCUGUCUAUUUUCAGUGCUUAAAGAUGUCUUCUCUUAUGAUAUACAAUAAUAACAAUUACAGGAGAAUUUGUUAAGCUCUUGUUAGCUUUGGUUCCUCUGUUUGAUAAAUUAUUUUGACUAGUGUUGUUUUUUCUGGCUUUUUUUGUUUUGCUUUGUUUUUCUAGUUUCAGAUGCAAGUGAUUCUGAAAAGAAAAUAUGUGGUACAUUUCAUUGAACAAGUGAAGGUCUGGCAGAGUAAAUUAAACAUGGCAGAUUCUGUCAUUUCCAUUUGGAUGGAAUUUCAGUGCAUGUGGUAUCUUCAUCAAAGCAAUUAUCUGCUUUGUUUUCCUUUCACACAGACUGGCAGUUGCUGGUGUCACAAUUUGAGACAAAGAUCUGUAUGUUAUUCCUUCACAUGUCUUUAAUAUCCUCUUUUAUUUACUCUUUGUUAACUUUUUAGCCUCCUGGAGGCACAUAGAGAUACAGUUCUGCUGAGGUGCAGAAAUCUUUUCUGCAAACUCCAUAUCAUUUAGGAAAAUGAUGGUUGAAAUACAAGUUUAUGGUCUGUUACUUAUUAAUGGCUAAAGGUAACUACAACAAUCAACAUAAACACUUGAACUGACACAAAGCUUUAUGUCUUAAUUGUUCAUUCCAACCAAAAAAGUCACUGAACUUUUGCAUAGUAAUGAUAAUUUUGUGUUGCCAAUACACCUGUAAUUCAAUCCAGAGAUGCCAGGGAAAGUUCUCAUCAUGUACAAUUCUGAAAAGAUAAUACAGUAUAGUGUUCCAUGGGGAGCUCCUGUGCUUGAAAUUUCAAAUAUAUUUCUAAUUGUUUUAAUCUGUAAUUUAGAAACAUUGACAGCAGCAUGUCUCACUAUUUGCCAAAAAUAGUGUAUUUUUUGUACAAGUUUAGAAUCCUGUUCAGAGCAAUGAGAUUAUUUCUAGUGUUUAACAUGCAUUAGUUUCUUCAUGGUGCAUAUUGAAAAAGCCAUUCAGCUUGCAUGAGCAAAAAUUCUCUAAAUUCUGCUAAAAUCUGUCAUUUUUAACUUGUUGAAGAGUUUUAAUGGUAUCAUUAGGGAUAUUUGCAGUUCUCUCUGUUCAUUUUACUUUUCCUUCAUAUUCAGUCUAAAUAGGUGUUUGUGGCUUUAAUUAUUUUUCUUUUUCUGUCUAUAAAAUAGAACUUAAAACCAGCUGAUUAGGCGUAUUCUUCCAGCUCUUUUCCCCAUGUUUUUCUUGUCCCAGUUUAAUGAACUGUAUGAAGUAGAAAAAAUAAAUUUGAGAGUUGAAAUAGCUCUCUUUCUUUCUGUACAGCAGUUGGUGACUGACAUAACAAAUAAAGAAAAUGUGGUGGAAGCCACCAGAAAGCCAAAGGUGUAUAAAAGAUUUGAAGCUUUGCAGCAGAGGCUAUAUAUUCAUUGUCCAGUCUGAAGAUGGAUGUGAACAGAUCUUUGCCAAGGCUCUCCACCUAGCAGUGAGUUGUGCUCCUGCAGGAACCAGCUGACACAGAUAAGACAGAGACCAUGGAAGAUUUAGGCUGUGCCCUUGGUAUGAUGGUGAAAAUUUUCAACUCCAGAACACAUGGAUGAUGAGAACCUGUGCCAUGGUUGUCCCUGACAUUGAACUGGUCUCUGGAAUGAUGUUGGCUGCUGAAGGGUUUAUUGAUGCCUGUCUGUUAGCCAGGAAGUUCAUCACCUUGUAACCUCUCUGCAGGGAUCUGCUCCCUGAGCAGGGCUGUUAUGACUGGGGACUUCAUGCUGUCAAGUCAGUUUUGGUAAUUACAGGGUCACUGAAACAAGGAGACAAGAACACACCUGAGGAUUGGCCUGAUCAGUGACCUGUUUCCAGCUCUGGAUGUUCUGAGGACAAGGAACCCACAGUUUGAGCAGAUGGUUAAACAAUCUAGCCUGGAGCUCUACUUGCAGCCAGAAGAGAACUUCAUUCUCAAAACAGGUGAAAAAGGGAAACAGAAACACUGGAUAGCAGACAGACCAAAUAAAAAGUGCAUAUAUUCCCACCUUUCUUCAAGGAACAUUCGGAUCUGCUGUAUGUGGCAGCACACCCCUUAGGUUUAUUGGGGUACACCGGAAAUAACCAAGCUGGUUGAACGUGACUGAUCAGAAGAUUUACAAAGGAUUUUGUGCUCUUCUCUCUUGUUCCAUUAUCCUGACAGAAGGGUAAAAAACAAUAAGUUGUACAACUGAUUGCAGAAUCCACUCUGCUAAAGCAAUGGCAGAACUGUGAUAACUGUUGUGUAUCCUUGGGUUUUCACAGUCCUGCUGGACUGUGUGGCUGUCUGGCAGAAUAGAAUUUCCUCUCACUUGCAGAGGUUCUGAAAGUUCUUCAUCACAUGUAUGUGAACACAAAAGAAGUACCCAAUUGGAAUAAACUUAAUGCAAAGUUCUGACAGCUGGUGAACUGUGUGGUUUUAUACAUCAAGCAAUCUGAGUGGAAUGAUGGCAAGAAAGACGUGUUCUGGCUAGGAUGUCAUUCUCCAUCCAAAAUGGUCAACACAAACAUGUAAGAGGUUUCUUCCAUGGCAGACAGGCCGGCAUGAAUUUCUCCAACUUGAGUGCUUUCCUCAUGCUGCAAUUCUUCAUAAACUGCUCCAUCAUGGGUCCCCCACUGAGCUACAAGUCGUGCCAGCAAACCUGCUCCAGCGUGGGCUCCUCUCUCUGUAGGUUUGGGGAAGGAGCCAAAGCUGGCCUGUCAUUUCUUUCUAGUGCAGCUAACAAGCAAUUUGCAAGUUCCCAUAUGAAGCUAUUUUGAGAACGAGAAGUUCCUUUAACACAACAAUCUAUUUGGAGGGUGAAAAACAAAUGCACCUGUAAUAACAAGGGAUUUGUCCCAUGAGAAUCAGUAAAUAAAAUAUGUAAACAAUCCAAGAAUAGAUAGACUUGAUGGACAAGUAGAAUACCUUUUACUAACCAACAGAACAAUUAACAAGAAAGCUAUUAAUCAGUUAAAGUUGCACAUGAGGUUUGUAAAUACUGUGUAGAAGACAGCAUGUGACCAUAAUAAAGAGAAGCCUUCUGAAGAUUUUACUGUGUCACUCUGUGUGCCGUGUCUGCCUCAACAAUGACACAGGUUCACAGGUCCUCCCUAUAACCUGCCCUAACACAGGCUUCUCAUAGCAUUCCACCCUUUUUCUGGCAUCCACCUACUUCUGUGUGGGGUACCUUUUAUCCAUAGUAAGAGAAAUAAAUUCAGGCUCCAAGUCCAUUUAAACCAUUGAAAAUAAUGCCCACAGCAAGCUGCACACUACAACUUGAAGCCUUAACAUUAUCCUAUGGCCACAUUUAUGCACUGAUAAUUUUUUGUCAGCUAAAUUAGCUCCACACAAACAAAGUCUAUGAGACCUAGAGAAAGCAAAUCACUUCAUCACCUUUCCACUAUGCUCUUGAACAGCUUAUAAAGUUAGAGUUAUAUUUGUGUAAGACAAAUUGUAGAAGGUAUGAAAGUAUGAUAUGUACACCUGUCAGUGGAGGAAUAGAGAGCAUGAGCUAUUAGCAGUAAUCACCUCUGUCUGAAGAUAUGAUUAUUUUUGCACUUUUUUUUCCAGUGUGUUCUCCAUAGGGUAUUCUCAAGUGAUUAAUGGUGUUUUGAUUGCAUUAACUUGUAUUGUACAAUUGUUUAAUGCUUAGAUGAGUAGAAAUUUUCCUGGGGAGAUUAGAAGUCUAUGAACAUAGAAACAUGGAUGUGAUGAUCAAAAGAUAUAAUUCAUUAUCAACUCUCCUUUUGUCUUUGAGGAUUAGUAUUUGAUAGGAAAAUAGCAGAGCUUGGAAAAGAAAUAUUUAUCAGGCAAUUGAAGAGCUUGGAAAAGAAAGAUUUAUCAGGCAAGGAAGCUUUUAGGUGCUCACAGUAAGUAAAGCUGUUUAUUGCCAGUUGUUUGUCCAAAUGGUUUUAGGUAAGGUGAAAGCCAGGCCAAAAAUUGAAUUGAAAUAUUUGAGAAAUUAAACCACCUACAUCUUUCACCAGUCUUUGCUUCUCUAAUAGUUAUUGGGAGACUGCUGUUCUGUAAAGCCUGAGGUGAAACAAAUGCAUUUCAGCUACAAUCAGAUUUCAAAAGCUUCCUGUUAGAAGAGGUUGAACAAAAAUUUUCAAGUAGAAAUACUGUGUAAAAGGUAAUCCAGUAAAACAAUUUAUUUUAGUAAUUCUUUGAGAAUAAAAGAAUUGUGUAUCUUGUUUCAUCACUCUUUAAAAUUUAGUCCUAGCCAGAGAGAGAGACAGAAAUUACAGUUUGCUUUUAAAAGUAAACUGUGACGUGCAAGUGUUUGAUGGGAUUUUUCCUUUUCAGUUUUAGUCAAUCUUUGUUCACAUAUCUUAGACUGUACAUCUCCAGUGCUUUAUUAAUUUACUUAUAAUAAAAGGCAAAGCAGUCUUGCUUGUUGGAAAUGCUAGAGUAGGAAAACAGUGUUUAUAGGCAAUAGGCUUGGUGCUGUCUCUGAAGACAGCCUCCAGACCAACAAUUCUUUCCACUACCACACAAUCUCAGCAGUGCUCCUGAGUAAGUUCCAUACAAGUGUGUAAAACUUAUCUUCCCUCAACAGCAGUGAUGAAAUGUAUUCCAAAGUUAUUACAGUCUUGUCACAACCAUUGGCUACUGCUCUUCUCUGGGCCUUGGCAAAGUUAUUGCUUUCCAAACUGGAAAACUUUGGAAGUUGUGUCAGGCAAGGGGAAAGGAGGAGGAUGAAACUGCCUGGUGCAAACUGGAACUGACACUGUGCUCCCACAAGUUGCUGUCUGAUAGCAGAUGAGAAAAUUUGCCUUUACCUCCGUUCACAAGAAGCUUUGAGCCAGCUUUGCCCUAACCUGGGUGUCUCUGCAUGGUGCCUGUAGGUGUACCAAAACACACAGUCAGAAGUUGAGUUUCCUUUUGCUAGGUACCACAAAACAUACAAGGAGGGUCAAUCGCUGUCAGAGUUUGUAGUCCCUGCAGAUGAGAUGGAUGCAGAUCAAAGGAAAUGUUAAUAUAACACACAAAUGGAGGGGGCUGUAUAUUGGCCAAAAAUGUUAUACUGGUGGUAUGUGGUAGAUUUUGAAACAAGAGGAAUCAAACAGUCAAAGCAAAAUAGGGCCAUAAAAGCUGUCUGCUCUGCUCUUCAUAAAGAACACAGUCAAGGGAGAGUUCAGCUGCCAGUGGAUAUGCCCUCUUGGCCAUCCUUUUUUUUAUCCUUCCUGUAAUUUGAACAAGAAACAACAAUACAGAAAAAACUGUGUCCACUUUGCUGUACAACUUUUCAUGCCAUGAAAAGCAAUAGAGAAGUAAGUUAGUACACUGCCUUGUCAUUUUAAAUGUGUGGGAGAAGAUACAAAAAAAAUUCAGUUUAAAAAAUUUUUUAUGAUUUUAGAAGUCUUAAGAUAAAAUCUUUAGAAGCAUUUAAGUGUGUUUGAUGUGUAAUUUAACUGCUUUUCCAAUCAGUAGUCUAAUUUUCCAGUCAAUCUACAUUGACUGCUAAUGGAUUAUGUUUUCACCAGGUUUAAAAAAGUAGGUAUAAAUCCACAAAUCUUAAUUGAAUAAGCUUUUACUGUUUUUUUCUUUCAUGUCUUGUGUUAAUUUCUUUUGUAUUCACAUCAGAUAAGGUAAGACCAUUUUGUCUCUUUUAUACUUGAGUUUAUUCCUUGAAGUGUUUCCAAAUUCCAAAACUUUAACAUAUAAUCCUGCAUCAACAGAACUUAAUCAUCUUUUUGCCCAUCAAAGUGAAUGGAAAGAUUAGGAGAAAACAAAUUUGCUGUGCGUCAGAGUGAGAUCAUGAGCUGCUGUAAACAGUCAUAGCUCCUUUAAUGGGGAAUCAGCCCUAAAAGGCUUUCAGAAAUUCCUCUGAUCAGGGAGGGAUUUUUGAGCUAAUGACUGCCAUUCCAAUAACAAACAUGGCUCUAGAGUACAAAUCAUAACACUUUCCAUUGCAAAGGGAAGCUGAUUAAAAGAGCUCCUGGGCAGCAAAGGCUGUGUAUUCUUCUCUCAGGAAACCUUAAAUAAACCAAAGAUGUGAAGUCAAACAUCACAGGGGCUUGUUCUCCAAGCAUGUUACACCCACCAACAGUCUUGUGGCAUAAAAUGUGAGAGUUUGAGCUUUUAAGGAUUUGCUGUGAAGUUUGAGUAGUGUUCCUUCACAUUAAAUCAGUGUUGUAAACCAUCCACUGCUCCUUCUAAGAAAAAUUAAGACAGGUACAAAGCCAUGGACUCAUCUCACUGUUUACGGUUCUUCCUUCUGUCCACUGCUCUUCAGCCAGGUUCCUCUUGUUAAAAGCUCUCCUACCGAGUUCCUCCACUAGUCACAGCAGUCAGUAACCAUCCCUUCAGCUGACUGUGACUAGACAGAAAUGCCCUUGGAAGCGUUUGUUACCUUGGUUGAGUUCGCCUGUCAAAAUCACUGUUGGGGUUUGCAGAUGAUUCAUUUCACUGAAAGGGACAUUUGGAAAAAAGCUGGAGAAAGAACAUGGUCAUACCUAUGUUCCAGUAAAAGAAUGAGAAACUUUUCUAUUUUAUUGGUGAUUUGAAUAUGGCUUAAGUGGAUAGAUGAGGAAUGGUUCGGCCUCAUGCAUUGAUUUGGCAGUGUAUUGAUUAUAGACCCUGACAAGAGACGAAAUCCAAACUUUGAUACUGGUUCAAAUGAUCAGCCUUUUUCUGCCAUGAGAAUAAAACCAUAGAAGAUGGCCACUGAAGGAUAACUCAGCUGAUUUGGGCAAUUAAGGUCAUACUUCAUCCCAUGAAAGAAUGACACAAGGCAUCAGCUGAAUAUCAUGUAAAGGAAAAAGAUGUAAAGAGAAAAAAAAAAAAAAAAGGAAGUGACUACUAAAAUCUGAAACAUCUCUAGCUUGGAGAAACCAAUCAGGUGGCCUCCUUUUAAUUCACCAGGAGCUGUGUGAUCUGGAGAGCCAGAAAGAGCAUUGGAAAAUGCAGCAAAUAGAGAAGCACACUUCCUCAUACUCCGUGAUGAUCUUUGUUGGUUUUUUUCUUUUUGAGAUGAACUAAUUUUCCUCUUAUCUGUGAUGAGUGAUUAUUUUGUGCAUUCUCAGACUGAUUUGUGCUUCUUUAGACCAUGCUUUACUCAUCUCCAAGAGUGUUUGGAGCCAGUUUCAUUACAAAAAGCCUUUAUCAUUAGAAGCUUUGUAAAAGUGCAGUAUCUUAAUUGCAACAGAAAUUUUGAACAAAAUACUAUGUGAUAGAAAAUAUGUGAUUAUUCUUAAUUUUAAAAUAUCAAUCCCAAUUUGAUAUUUCCAUGGAUAUUUGUAUUCUAGAUUCCCUGUCAGACAGAACUGUUGAUUCUUCAACUGAAGUUAAGCCUGGAACUGUACAGUGCUUCAGUGUUUUGUCACUAAUAUUAAUCAAAUUGCAUUUUCUUUCUCAGUUAUGAUAGGCAAAAGCUAACUAUUAAAGAAAUCCAUAAUUUUCAAUAUGUUGCCUAUAUGAAUCCAGCUGCUAGCAGAUUCAUUAUCAAGCCUAAGCUCCAGCUAUGAUGUGAAGUAUCAUAUUAUAACAAUCCUAUAUUUAAUAUAUGAAAUAAUUGCUAUUUAGGUUUCCACUACAAUAGGUAGCAGAUGAAAGGGAAUAGGAGAAAAUAUAAUGUUUGAAAUUUAGUUCAGACCGAAAAUCUUGCUGUUCUUAUAACUAAACAGAAAGAGACACACUAGAUUUAUCAUGACAUUGAGAGUUUCCUGAAUUGCAGUCUCAUGUGGUCCUUCACCUGUCAGAUGUGCCCUUGGGGCUCAUAACCAGACAUGCGACUGCUGUGGGACUACAUCAAGGAUGAGGCUAGAAAUGAAGUAUUUUCUGUGACACACAAGUAGCUGUAUGCUUACCAGGCUGUAUUGUCAUUUAACACUUCAUUCACUCUUAUCUGCUGUCUGAUGCUAGAGGAUCUUCAUCUCCUUUUCCCUUUUUAUUUUCAAGGACAUUUUGCAGUAUUUGCCUCCAAUUUCCUUUCUUCAGAUUCCCUGGUUACCAUCUGCAAAAAGAUAGUUUGCUUCCACUUCCAGCAAUGAGCCUUUGUUCCACCAACAAUCAAGAAUAUUUGAGCCAUGGUAGAAGCAGACAUAUGCCUUCACCAGGGAUUCAAAACUUCCUACCAACUGAUAUGAAGUUCCACUACAUCCUUACUAUGAGAGACCUCUCCAGUGGCUUUCAGGUUCAUCAAAGGGUAGCUGAAUACCAGAGCAGAGAUUAAAGACAAGAGGGAAGGAUAUAAUAGGGUCAGCAAAUCCUGGCCUCUCUUGCAAAAUCAGGCUGAUUUAGUGGUUGAUGUGAUAAUCAUCAGACCUGCAGACAGAAGCCUUCUCAGGUAUCGCCAGCUUUGCUUGAAAAUGUUGGUAGAUCUUGCCAGUUUGUACAUCAAGACAGGUGCCAAGAACAUGCCCACAGUGUUUUUGCUGACAGAUGCCCAAGUUCCAGAUGAAUGCUUUCUUGUGCUGAUUAAUGGCUUGGUGGCAUCAGGAGAGGUUCCAGAUCUGUUCAGUGAUGAAGACAUGAAGGUCAUAAUUGCAGGAGUUAGAAAAGAAGACUGAGUCCUGGGCCUGAUGGUCAUCAGAGAACACUCCUGGAGGUGAUUCCUGAGAGUGUGGCUGCAGUAGAAACCACUCAUGCAGGUCUCCACGGUUUAUGGUGGUUUUAUGGCUUCUGACCACACCAGUGUGAAUGUCCUGAGUGCCAAGUACAAUCAUAACAAGAGGCAGUACAGUUGCACCACUCCAAAUAGUUUUCUGGAGAAAAUCAUGCUUUAUGAUAACCUCUUACACAAAAAAAGCAAGAGGCUGUCAUGACACAUGGAGUAAUGGCAUGCAGAAGCUUUCUCCCAAAAGAGGGGAGGCAGCAGCUUUCCAGUCUCUGAGUGUGCCUUAACCUUAUAGCAAAGCUCUGCUGGAGUUAUCUGCUCAGAGUAGAAGAUCUAAAAUCCGAACUUGCUACUCAAGAGGCAGAACUGCAACUGAAAAAUCAAGAUAUUGAAGCUUUGGUUGCUAAGAUAGGGUUUCAGACUGAGAAACUGAGCCAAGAAAAGGCCAUUGCAGAUGCAGAGGAGCUAAAGCUUGAAUUUAGGAGGAGAGCAUAUGACCCUGCAUCGCUCUUUUCUGUGAACCUUUGGUAACAAACUCAAGCCAGCCUGAGCACCACUGGGAUUUACUGAAUGCAAAGCCAGGAGAAAAUGAAAGGUUGAUGACUCUUUGCAAGAUUUAAUCAACUAUGAUAAGGAGCAUAUUUCUCAAAAUCAUCUGAAGGUCGCUAAGGAACAUUACUCGUAGGAUCUGGAUUUCAACCCCAAUUAUGUUCAUACAAAAUCCUUUGCAGCAGCUGGUCUCCGUGCCUGGGCCAUCAAUACAGUAAAAUUCAGUGAGGUGUAUUGUGAGAGAGCCAAAAUGUUGUGUGUUGGCUCAGGCUAACACUGAUUUAGCAGCAGCUGCAGGAAAACUAGAAGCCAUCAGGAAAAAUCUUCUUGAAAUUAUAUGGCUGAGAGAUGCAUUUCCUCUGAUGGUUAGUGGCUGGUUUUCUACCUGUGAAAUGUUAGAGGAGGAUGAGAGGCUGAGUUCAGUAGAAAAAAAUCAGUAAAUGUAAUGAAGUCUGCAGAGUGGGAGUUUUGCAUCUAGCAAAGUUUCAACAGUUCCAUUUUUCCAACCAUGAUACUUCCUGAUCUGAUUGAUUUAAUUCUUCAUUCAGUAUUUUGUAAUGUGGAUGCCUGGCCUAUGGAACCUGUUCCAGCUGGUUGAUGUCAGACUUUUUAAAGGGAGAAGCUUUCCUUGCCUCGAACGUCUCGUCAACUGUGCAGCUUCAAGGCAGUGCUUUUCCCACUGAGCUGGUUUGACCAACUUGCACAGUUUGCCUACUGAGAUUGCCUAGAAGCUAUCGUACCAUUCUAGCAUUUAGUUAUGGUGUGUUUUGGAGAACAUCUGCCCUGAAAGAUGUACCAAGACUGAAGACAAAAAAUGUGAGUUCAACAAGAAUUUUCAUCUCAUCCUUCACACUAAACUGGCUAACCCUCACUUACAAGCCAGAACUGCAGGCUCAGACCACCUUCAUUAAUUUCACUGUCACCAGGGACAGGCUGGAAGACCAGCUGUUGGCUGAGGUUCUUUAUGCUGAAAAGCAAGACUCAUAAAAAACGUAAGGAAUUUUUUGGUAAUUGUGCAGGAUAAUCAUGGCACAUCAAAAAAUAAAUGGGACAACAGUCAUCAUUCAGGUAGCUGAAGCCAAAGAAAAUGAAGCUCAGGAUGACAUGACAAGAGAGCAUUACAGACUGACAGCCAGAAGAGCAUCCGUUCCUUACUGUGGGAGUGCCAGCCUGGGCAGUGUCAACACCAUCUACCACUUUUCACUGAAGGUCACCUGCAACAAAUGAAGAGAUGGGUUAAAGUCAGUGUUUUCUCUGAGAUGAAAGAAAAUCACCAUGGCAUUAAUGAGAGGCCCUGGUGUCCUGGGCACUGUGAGAGCACGCACAAACUGCCCCCUUCGUCAGCAACGAAACUGCAAGUGUGCUUAACCAUGUUUCAUUGCUAAGCCAGCUCCAGCCAUAGAAGAGCAAAUCAUUCCCCAAGGAAUAAUAGGAAAUUCAAUUAAAAUUACUGGUGAACGUCCUACAAGGAUGCUGGCUAAUUUCCAUGUUGCUCUCUAUGGUUUUGACCAGUGCAAUUUUCACAUUUGCCUUCCUGGGAGGCUGAAGUUUGGCCCUCGGGGUUGGAAGGGAAGGUGCCCGAUCAACACCCAAGAUCUCCGUCUGUGUCGCAGUCCCCAGCAACUGUUCAGGGACCCACAGGAAGAUGGGUUCCACAGGAAGACUUGCAUAACCUCCUUGGUGAGAUCAUGCAAGGUGGCCACAUCACGGGUGCCUGGGACUGCAGGCUCUGCUGGAUCUGUCUGCAAGAAUUCCUCAGCCCAGUCCUGCUGAGAACUUCCACAAGUGCCUAAAGCUCCUGAACAGGCCAUUUGUGGAGCCGGGCUAAGCUUGGAGAAGUGUCCCUGUCACCCCUGGCCGUGGGUUGAAGCCUGCCUUUUGGCUGUGAGCGAGAGGAGCGGGCUGGUGCCUCCUUGGUCCCAAAGAAGUGGAUUUCGUGUGUCAAAGAGCCACACUCAGCUGAAGGCAAUUGGAAGUAACUGCUCAGAAGAAGAUGCCCAAGAGGCCCAUUAGAAUAACCCACUACGCAUCAGCUUUGACAGACCUCACCCAGGAACAGUUAUAAAGACAGAAGGGCAGAAAGUUCCAGCUACAUACCCCAGUGACCCACAGCCUGCCUCUGUGCACGACUCCCACGGACGCAGUAAAACCUGAUUUAAGUGCCAGCAGAGAGACUGCUUGAAGGGGAACUUGGCAUCAUGUUUCUUGGCCCCACCAAAUCUGGAUUAUGAUGGAUACCAUAAAUACAUAGAUGAAAAGCUUCCAUCUGACAGCCCUGCACUAUAUGGACUGCACCCCAAUGCUGAGAUGUGAUUCUUGACAACAUCUGAUAAUCUCUUCAAAACUCCUUUGGAAAAGCAACCCAUGUAUACAUGGGAGAGGGAUCAGGCCAGUCUACAAUGAAAGAGCUGUAAUGCAGAAUAGGAACAACUGGAUUUUGGAUAACGUGUGCUCGACUGCAGAUGUUACCAAAAAGACCAAAGAGGAGUACGGCCAGCCAGAAACAGAAGGAGGCUGUAUCUCUGUGCCUUCCACACAAGAAUGAAGAUAAAAACCUAGUUCAGGAACGACAAUUCAGGCCUGCCGUCAACAUGAGAUUUUAGUUUUAACUUGGAAAAGCUGUCAACAAAGUUACAGCUCAUUAGAGAAAGGUGCAGGAUUUGGCCCAGGGCACAAGAAGUCAAGUGUCAUUGAAAUGACUGUAACAGUUUAAGAAGGGAUGAGCAGAGGGCGGAACUCUCACCUUUCCAGGCUCAAGAAUGAUACUUACUGGAUCGAGCAGAGCUGACUUCACAUCCUCACCAUAUCGAUUCCGAAGG